GGAUCAAUGAUGUGACCUAAUAUUGUCUUGAAGAGAGAUGAUUAACCAACAAUUAUGCUCGAUAGGGUUAUGUUAAGACCC